UCCAGCAUGGUGUAGUGGUUUGAGCAAUAGACUACGAUUCUGGAGACCAAGGUUCAAAUCCCCUGCCUGGCUAUGGAA